rnacentral:snoRNA from 1 species
UAUAGGCCUUAUCGAAGCUGUGCUGUUCUUCCUUUUGAAUAAGUUUAGUCAAAAUGUGGCCAAUAUCAAAGAUUCUACAAUAGGUCACUGGGUGUUUAUAUCAAUAUACAACUCAGUAUUACCCAAGUAGAAUACAUUA